AAACCAUGCAGAGGACACUUUUGUAGCAAAUCCUUGAAUCCUUCUCAUGCUUGAUACAAGCUUUCAUCCUCCAUUUUCUUGAAUAAAGUUAGAUCAUUUCAGAGUUU